GGCAGAUACUCGAUUGAGUUCAUUCUCUCAUAUCCACUGACUUCCCUUUGCCAAAUGAGGGUGCAUAAUUCCUACUCAAAAUUUAUUUCAGAGUUGUCUGUUCCUCUUGCAACAACCCCAGCUUCCCCGUAACUCUUUGUGCAGAGAUCUGUGGAAAGCAUGUCCAUCUCUCCCUUUAAGAAAAAUAGGUAUAUUUUGAAAGUCUGCCCUACAAAUUCCUAAGGAAAAUAGCAGAAGGAGAUCAUUCCAGGGCUUCUGGGCCUGAUAGUCCAUAUGCUAUCUCUAUACAAGCUUGUGUUUAAAAGGAAACUUCCUCAAUUGGAAGUAAAGAGACCAGUUAAGAAGUCCUUAAAAUAGUGCAUGUGGUGAUAGUGAGGGUGCAACUGCAGCAGCAAUGGAGAGAGAGGGAGGAUUCAAGGAAGCCCGGAGCUUCAGAAAUGAAGCAUUAACAAACAGAACUGGAGGAGUUACACUGAUAAUGCAGGAAGUUCAGGUUUUCGGUUUUAAGUGUAUUACGUUUGCAUUGCUUGUAGGACAUCCAAAUGUAGACGAGCAGCAGGCAGUCAGAAUGUGAGCCUGUAGAUUGAAAAGUCUCACAUAUGGUCACCUUUUGGGGAUCCUUCUGGAGAGAGGCAAUAAUUGAAAUCCUGGAGCAAAUGAGAUUAUCAGAGGCAAAGGUACAAAAAAAAAUAAAGGCUUGAACAGAGGGCACAGGCAGGAACAUUUAGGGGGCAGAAGGAGAAAGAAGAAGCCUCAAAGUAGACAGAAAAGGUGUGGUCGGAAAAGUAGGUAGUUAUUACUUCCCUCAAGGGGUUAUUUCUGCUCAUUUCAAGACUGAGAACUACUGUCUUAGUUUAAUGAUAGAAGACGAUGAAAAUAGCCAGAAGGAAGGAAGUUGGUAAAUAGGGAUUAAGCCAAGGCAAAUAUGAU
rnacentral:lncRNA from 1 species